rnacentral:lncRNA from 1 species
AUUUACUCGGCUUUAAAUAUUUUAGAUGGUAUUUGUUUACUCACUGGGAUUAUAUAAUCUCACCACUCUCCUUUUCACCCAUUUCAGGCUCAAGAUAGUCUGUAGAUAGCUGAUAUCAUCGAAGGCUAUAGUCGGCUUUACUACUCCAAAAACUGUAGGUUUACUGCCUUUGUACACUUUUGUUCCUUGUGGGCCCAUGAGUCAUUGUAAAGUAAAUUUCAUAUCCUGGUUAUCUGUAUUGUAGUACGUAUAAAUUUAUUUAGCUUUUACAUUACAAAAUAAAUUAAUUACCAAUGACUCUAUAAAUAUUGUUUUACAAGAAAUUAGAAUAUUUUUAUUUUAUUCAAAUAGUUGCAAUAUCAUUUUUAAUAAAUGUUUUAGACACUCAAAUUUAUUUUAAAUCAUGAAAUAUAUGUUUUUCACUCAUCUACUACAUUUUUAGAUGGGUUUGGAAAAUUUCGAGGAAAAAUGAUGAAAACGCCCCUAUGAGGUGAAAAUUAUUUUUCCACGAUUUUGAAAGGGAAAAAGCUUAAAAUUCUUUAAAAACGAGGUUUGGCGAUGAUUACUCAUAGGGGAGAUGAGAAAAAUGGUACUAAAGCCUUGUGGGAUUCCGGUUGGUACUCCGAGUAACGAAUGUCUACCGGGACGUCGUCGCUGUUGUCACGGGCUUGAGGGGAGUACUGGGUCGUGACAAAUACCAUAGGGUCAAGUAGGCACAUGUACCCAUCUUUUCCCCUUUUAAAGCACAAUGUGAAGGUAAGAUUACGACAAGGUUGAAUUGAGCAAAAGUACCCAUCUUCCCCUUAUCUUUUGUAAACUGUAUGACCUGACUCCUCAUUUAUGCAUUGGAUAUUGUGGAACUUGUGUAUGGUGAGUUGAUGAUUAUUGUUCUUGUAUAGAAAUAAUGAGCUGAUUGAUUAUCAAAAGAUGUGUUCAUGUGAUGAAUGGAUGUUAUAGAAAUUGAGGGUUUGAGAACUUUCUCUCGUUUUUUCUUUGCAAAUGUUUUGUAUUUGAAGCUAUAAGUGUUUAAUGACUUUUAUGCAACUUGGAUUUCAAAUGCAUUUAUGGAAAAUGUUGAAAUUAAGUUGUUGAACAUUUGAGAGGAAAUUAUAAGAAUGUUUAUGAAUAUCAUGUUGUUUUUGCAAAGUAUGAUUUAUUGCAAAAAUUUUUCUCCUUGGUUGUCCCCUUCUUCAUAUCUACUCACGGAGUCUUUGUGACUCACUCGCUAUUUUUCCUUAUUUUUGUUUUACAAAUCAAUAGCUUGCUUGGCCAGGCACCCUAUGGGGUGGUAGCUUAGGUUAUGUUUGGUAGGGUGGUAAUGACUUCUUUCCUACCUUUCCAAGACAUUACACGCCACAGCGUGUCAAGUCGAGUCUUUUGAUGUUGAUACUUGAAUGAUACUUGGUUAUGUAAUAAAUGUUGAUAUACUCUUAAUUGUUUAUCAUUGUGAAUAUCGUGUUAAGCCUCAGAAAUGGGUGUGGACAUAUGUUGAUACUAUGAUGAAAGGACCAUAGGAAAUAUAGGCACAAAAUGUGUGCUGAAUUACAGAUGAAAUGUACAAAGUGAAUAUUGGUAUGAAAUAAAAUAGAAAUCACACCAUCUUGAAAAAUUCCAUAGUUGUAUGAUAGUACGUAUGUGAUGAAUGAUUGUUUAUUGAUCCACACAUUAUGUUGAGAAGUGCCAUAAUGAUAUAUUGCUGUUUCAUAUAUUGUAAAUGUUGUAUGAGUGUGGUGGAUGUCAAGCCCACGCAUGAUGUUUAAGGCUUGCUUGUGCCUAAUAGGCCAUACCCAUGUAGAUCCAUGCACCAGUCAUGAUCCUUCCACAAAUGAAAUGUGACAAAUAUAUUGAUUCUUUCCAUUGUAUGCUUGAUCAUGUGGCUUUGACAUGGUAGCUUCAUUAUCACAAAGUAUUAAGAUUGAUAAGGCCACAACGGAAUAACGUAAAUCUCUCAACCAUUCUACUUCUUUAAUGGCAGAUGUUAAGGCUAUGGAUUCAGUUGCUAUGGUGGAGUUCGCUUAACAAGAUUGUUUCUUGGAACCCUAAGAAAUAAUUGCCCCAUGCAUCCGAGCAUUUGGCUCGUUGGUUGGUGCAUAAUCUCCUGUAUUCCCUGCCUAAAAAAUAGGGUUUGAAUCCUUCUUCCACCAAUUAAAAAAAAAAUAGCUCCACCAAUUAUAAAAAGCUAACUAGCCAUAAAGGUAUGGGCUAGUCUAUUUGAGUUCCAACUAGCAUCUAUAAACCUUUCUAAAAUUAGAAAAGAACCUGAAUAACAAAUGCGGUAGUUCAUUGUACUUUUGAAGUACUUUAUAACUCUCUGAAUUGUUGGCUCAAUUAGUUUUUGAUGAUAAUAAAACAUUCUCAUUUAUUUGUGUAUAAUAUCUUUACUUGAGUGUGUAGAAAUAUUAAUAUAUGAAAUUAAUUAUUUAACUUUUCAAAGAGUAUAUCAAAAGAAAAAAAAGGGAUAAAAAUAAUAAGAUAUAACUGUCUAACAAGGAGGAAGCUUAUUGGUGAAACAAGGAAGAAUGUUGGUUCACCAAGUUUCAAAUUGGAGGAAUGGCAGGCUGAAGAGUUUGAGAAACAAAACCAACUUAGUCGACUAAGUGCUCUCUGCCAGAAUCUGCAACCUGAAACAAAACCAACUUAGUCGACUAAGAGCUCUCUGUUUGCAAAUUAAACUAGAGUACUACAAGACAGAUUAAUGGCUAGAACUCAUCCUUAACUAUUUCCAACGGACAUAAAACUACCAAACUGCCAUCAGAGUUGCAUCUCCAAGUAUAAAAGGGUCUUCCAACAAUUAGAAACUAGUUUUAGAAGCCUUGAAUGAGAUUUGAGCUAUAGAGAGUUGAAAAACCAAAAAAUCUUCACUGCACUUGUUUGUACUUAAGCGCCUACUCUUUGCAUUUGUAUUUUGCACUCAAUCUUAUACCAAUAAGAUCAACUAGUGAUCAUAGGUACUUUCUUUUACUACUCUUCUUGUAUUCUUUGAGUGAGGAAGUCACUUUAAGGGGUUGUUCAAGCUUGGGAUAACUUGAUUGUUGUAGGUUGUGGUUGAGCCUUGGAAAAACCACUUUGGGUUUUAGUUUAGCUCGUGAAAAACUAGUGUAAAAGGUUUUGGCUGAGCCUUGAAAAGCCAUUGUAAAGCUUGGUGAAAGCUUGUGAAUUUCACCAGUUCUUAGUGGAUUUGUUGGGAAAAUCCUUGGUUGGAUAAUCAAGGUAGUGGACAUAGGUCUUGGACCGAACCAUUCUAAAUUGUUGUGCAUCUUGUACUCUAUUUUGAUUUUCUUAAGUUAUGGAAAUUAGUUUCCAAUAUUGUUAAGAGCCAAAUUAUGCUAUUCACCCCCCUCUAGCACAUAUUAUUAGGACCAACAUGAACAUCAUACCUAUGCAUUUUACUUGGAUUACGAGUAAAUCGACUUAGCAUCUUGUUAGCCUUGAGUUACAUCAUUUUUUGAUUUGACAAAAAUUAUAUGUUAUCUUGAACUUAAAGUCAAGAAUUUGAAAUUGUCUCAAAUAUAUUUUUAGUCACCUAAGGUCAUAUAAUUGUUUGAAAAGCCAUGCAUCAUUAGAAAAUAUUAUCAUGAUAAGAAAUAAAGUGCAAACAUUCCUUGAAUUAUUAUUUGAUUGUAAGAAUAAGGCAAGGAAGAAAUAAGUGAAGAGGGGCACCAAAAAGCUUAAGAAACCUCAAGCUACAAGUCAAGAGUCAACUUUAGAGAAGCUCAAGUCGAUCCAAAGGUAGAAAAAGUGCAAAACUUGAAGAAUAUAAAGCCAUAGUUGACCUUAGAGUGCCAAUAGUCAGCCAUAUUCUAAAAAGCUCAAAAAACUGAAGAAUUGAACAGACAUAGUUGACCCUAGCUCCUUAACAAGUCAAAAGUGUGAGAAAGAGGACUUUACAUAGUCAUAGUCAACUAUAGCAAAAAGGUAGUCAACUACCACAGUCCAAACUUGCAAAAAACACACUCUCAAGAGUUGGAUCAAAUAGAAAAAGGUUAUACUCGACUAUUGAGCCCUAAUUUGAGAAAUUAAAAGAACAUAGUCAACCUUAGGAGUGUUUUACUCGACUCUCAAGCUCUAGCAAUGGUCAGAUUUGAUUCAAACUUGUGUCUAACUACUCCAAACUUUACAUCAGCUAUAAAUAGUAGCCUUUGAGCCAUUUAGAAGUAAAAGAAGACCUAAGAUAAAGUUUCAAACCUUAGAGAGACCUCUAGAAGCUUAUCCUCACUCUUUAGCUUUAUUUUAGUCUUUCAUCAAGCUUUGAAAAGUUAUACACUUGCAUCAUUUAAGCUGAUAUUUCUUCUCUUCACACACUCAAGCUUAACUCCUAGCACCUAACCUUUAUAGAGGUAUUUUCUUGUUAAACUUUGUACUAUAUUGUAAAGGUUUUAUCUUAAUUUUGAAAAGCUAUUUGUGAGGGUUUGUGGUUAAGCCCAUAAAAACCAUUGUUGGCGGGUUUCGCUUCAUCUCAUGAAAAAACUUGUAAGGGUUUUGCUAGAUCCUGUAAAAAGCAUUGUGAGGGUUUCGCUUGAUCCCAUUCAAAGCUAUUGUGAGAGUUUCACUUGAUCUCGUAAAAUACUCAUUUCCCUUAGUGGAUUUGAAAUUCCUUGAUGUUCCGAGGGAGUGGAUGUAGGCAUUAGAGAAAACCGAACCACUAUAAAAAUCUUAUCUUACCUUUAAUCUUUUCACAUUGUUAUUUAUUGCUUGCAUUUAGCUUAGGAAAAUAUUUUUCCUUAAUUCAUUAUUUAUGCUAUGGUUGCAUUUAACUUGCGAAAAAUAUUUUACCUUGAUUUGUUACUUGUUCUUUUCAAUUCAUUAUUGAAAAUUUGUUUAGGAAAAUCAUACACUUUGUUUUUGACACAAGAAGAAAAUUUUAGUUGCAAAAGUUUUGAAUUUUAUACUUUGUUUUUUUUUAAAGAAUUUUUUAAAAUUCCUAUUUGACCCUUUCUUAAUAUAUUGUUUAUUGAGACUUUUACAUUAACAAUUGGUAUCCAAGCUUGGCUUAAAUUUUGUAGGUAUAAUUACCUUUGAGAGAUCUAUUGUAAAAGCUCAAAUUGACAAAAAUAGAAGUGAUGGCAACAGUACUUGGUGAAGAGCAAUCAAUCCAAAGGUCACCAAUUUUUGUACAAACUAUCCUUAUUAAAAGAAACAUAUGGAAAUGUUUAAACAAUCUAUGGACCUAGAUGUUUGGAAUGUUAUUUUAAAUGGUCCACAUGUUCUAUAUAAGGAGGUAGGUGGCAAAGUGGUCAUUAAGUCUAAGAAAGAUUAGGAUGAUAAAGAUAAGAAAUUAAUUAAAAUAAAUUGCCAGGCUUAUAAUACUUUUCUUUAUGCCUUGGUAGCUAGUGAGUUUAAUAAAGUGUCUAUGUGUGAAAUUAUAAAACAAAUUUGGGACUCUUUGUAAACCACUUAUAAGGGCACCAACCAAGUCAAGGAAUUCAUGAUUGGAUUGCUUACACAUGAUUAUGAGCUUUUUAGGGUAAAAGAGGGUGAGUCAAUUAAUGACAUGUUUGAAAGUUCACUAAUAUUGUAGAAGGAUUAAAAGCCUUAAGAAAGGAUUUCCCAAAUGCACAACUUGUAAAGAAAAUUCUUUACAGCUUACCAAAAUCUUGGAAACCUAAAGUCACAACUAUAGAAGAAGCUAGAAACCUAAAUAAUAUUAAGUUAGAAGAGCAUAUAGGUUCCCUUUUCACUUAUGAAAUGACUCUUAGACAUAGGAAUGAGAGAGAAGAACCUAAGAAAGAAAAGGUCAAAUGAAAGAGAAUAGCCCUUAAAUCUAUAGUUGAGGAAAAAAAAAGAAAAGCAUUGAGAGAAAGGGUGAAAUGAGGAGGACAUUGUCAUGACCCAAAUUUCGGGCCAUGACCGGCGCAUGUGCCCAACGGACGUAGUCCACUAAUCCCAAGCAAGCCUAUUAAUCUGACAUGUUCAUCAUUCCAUCAUAAACUGCUAAGUCACAUUUUAUAACUUAGGAUCAAAAUAAUAUUAAACAUUGCCACCUCAUACUAGCAUACUAAACAAGUGUAUAUACAUUGUCUACAACAUGUAUCUUAAUAAUUUACAUUAGGUUUGUCUAUACACAACAAAGGAAUACUCAACUUCCAGCGGAGAGACUCGGACGAAUGUACAGCUACUGAAUGUCGAGACACCUACCAAGAGUCGAAUAUACGAAGACACUUCGACCUAGUUACCAAUUGCCUCUUGAUCUGAAAACAUGAAGUUGAAAACGGUGAGUAUAAACCCAAUGAGUGAACAAGAAGGGAACAAGCAUACUGUCAUAGCCCAAAUUCCUGGGCCAUGAACGGCGCAUAGGCCCAAUGGGCAUAGCCCACCAAGCCCAAGCAAGCCUAUUAUGUAAUCUUGCUUAACAUCCCAUCAACUAUUCUCAAGUUACCUUUCAUAAUUCUAGCUUAUAAUCACUUUAAUAAUGGGCUAUAGCAAUCACGAAUUUCAUUAAUAUAAACCCAAAAUGAUGUUAACAUUUCAACUCAUGGUGGCAUUAACAGUUAAAAUAUACAUAUUUCAUCUAGGACACGUAUCUUAGUAUUUUACAUCACAUGAACGUACUCAUAAAACAAAAUGACUCUUGACUUCCAGCAGAGUGACCACAGUGAAUAUGCGGCUACUGAGAUGCCAUAGUACCUACCAAGAAAGCGAGCAUAUGUGUGCAACUCAAUCUAGAUCCCAACUGCCUCUAACUCUGAAAACAUGAAUUUUAAAAACGUGAGUAUAAAACUCAGUGAGUGAACAUAAGAAGGGAACAAGCAAUCAAUAGGAAGAAUUUGGAAAUUAUAAUGCAUUUGUUUCAAAAACAAUGCACUUGAUUUAAUUUCUUACUAAAAACCCCUCAUUUCAAACCUUGAUUAAUACCCUCAUAGUGAUUCACAAACCCAUAAUCAAUCCAUGAAGUUAAAUGGGUGAAAAAUAUGUCAAAAACCGAAUGGGGUAUCAUGUAGGACAGAAUGUUUCUUGCUGCAGCAAAGUUCAUUCUUGCAGCAGUGAGAAACAGUACCAGUUUGCAUGUGUUUCAGUUUUUCUAGCACAUCUCCCACUACAGAAGUCCAAUUGACCUGAUUUUUAGACCAUUAUAAAUCUAAAAGGAAGGGAUACAACUUUUAUGUUUACCACUUUUCCUAGUUCGAACGGGAAUAUGGUCAAAAUCUUCAUCAAAGUAAAGGCACUGCAUUAGAACCUGAGAGUUUCUCGCUGCAGCAAGAUUUAUUUUCGCUGCAGCGAGUUUUCUGCUGCCAAAACAGAAUGUUUCUUGCUGCAGCGAGAAGUAGGGCACCUAAGUGAAAAAAGGACCUCCUUUGCACUAAAAACCCAUUUGGUGCUGCAAAAAAGAUCAAUUUGCAAGAGAAUGAGAAUUUCUCAAGAUUCAUCAUGCCAAAUUUCACAUGCAUUUCAUCAUAUAUCAUAUUCAUGAACUUUCAUUUCAUAAGCAUAGAUAUGCAUAAAUACAUAGAUAAACAUCAAUAUCAUCAUAAUCACACCCGGUUCAUGUGCAUCCCCCCACAUCGUGCACAUACCCGGUGCCAUCGUGUGCAUCCCCCCACAUCGUGCACAAUCAGUGCCAUCGUAUACAUCCCCCCACAUCAAGCACACAGGCACUAUCAUCAUCCAUCUCCUACACCACCAUCAUCAUCGGCAUCUGCAUCCCCCCACAUCGUGCACACACACGAUUAUAAUCAUCAUACACAAUAUCAACUAUCAUGCACAACAUAUAUAUAUAUAUCAUCAUAAUGCAAUAGUGCAUGAAUCCAUAACAACCACAUAUCACAACAUAAAACCAUUUAGCAAAAGCUUGUUCCCAAGGCACUUGUUUUAAGAAAAAGUUGUAUAAAAUCAUUCAAAUGCUUUGUACAAAAUAGUCACAUUCCCAAAAUGAUUUUGAAAUGCAGUUCAGUCAUCGGUAUUGUUUGUGAGACCCCAACCUCUAUAGGCUUGUAACUAAGCACAGAUGUAAUAAUACGAGCUAGGGGUAGUUUUGUCAUUUUCUUUAAUGAGCUCCUAAAAGAAAGUUUGACGAUAUUUUAAGGUCUAAAUAGGAAUAAGACUGCAUAAAUGAUGUGUAAUGAUGAAAACACGAAGAAAACUAGAAAUGAUAAAAAUUUUCACAAUAGGGGCAAAAUGGUCAUUAUGCACCCAAGUCAAAACUUUUAAAAGUUUCGCAAACCUGGGCAUGUUUAGACCAUUAUGGACUUAGUAUCAGUGUUAAAGAGUAAAAAGAUUGCACAAAGGGUUGCAUGAGAACAAGCUAACUAGUCAAGGGCAUUUUCAUAAUUUUAAGGGAAUGGAUAAGUUUGACCUACAAAUAUCCUUCUUCCAGCAGCUUCUUCUCCCAUUUUCCAGUAGCUUGUCUUCUUUUUCCUUCUUCCCUCUCACGUUUCUUUAAAACCUCCAUGGAAGCUUGAUAUGGAGCUUGCAUGAUUUUCUCUCUCUAGCUCUAGUUUUCAUACCUUUGAGCCCUUUUGACUAGAACCCUUGUAUUCUUCCACUCUCUCUCCUUAAAACCCUUGAAAAAUCUUAUUUUCAUACUUUCUCUCCCUAGUUGGGCAUUCUAGAGAGAGAAAUAGAGAAUUAGCCCAUUUGUGUGGAAACUAUUGAAAGAGAAUUCAACUACAAAGGAACCCUAGGGUAAGUGAUGAAUUAAGCUUGGUUUUUAGCUGUGAAUAAUGGCUAGUAAUUGGGAGUAUGAGCUAUUUUAUUGUUGAGUAUGUUCAUUACUUUUUAGUGAUUAAGAUAGUGAACAUAGAUAGCCAUUUAAUGUGGCAAUUGAAAGCUAGCUAAGAGAUAGCUUUUAGGGUUCAUAGUAUGUGAAUUGACCUAUUGCUUAUGCUAAUGUGAACCUACGUUUUAAUGAAGUCCCAUCCUUCCAAUUGGAUCAUUAAGGGAAAUAGAAUCAACUAAAGGCUUAAUAAUAAAUUGGUGAGUAGACUACCUAUCAAAACUAUUUUGGGAAUGUAACUGUUUUGUACAAAGUGUUUGAAUGACUUUAUACAACUUUUCUUAAAAAUGAGUGCCUUGGGAACAAGCUCUUGAGAAAUGGUUUAUGUUGUGACAUGUGACUAUUGUUGAUUCAUGCACUACUACAUUGUGUUGAUAUAUAUAUAUGAAUAUAUUGUUGUGUAAUGACAUUGACUCGGUUAUGUGCGAGUAGGGAGUACGCAUAAGCCGAGGAUGACCUGGUUAUGUGCGAGUAGGGAGUGUGCAUAACUCGGUGAUGACCCAGCCAUGUGCGAGUAGGGAGUGCACAUGAGCUGGUAAUGAUGAUGAUGGGUAUGCGUAUAUAUGUAUACAUACGUAAACAUGUGUGUUAUAAGAAAUUUAUGAGUUAUGUAUAUGGAUGUAAUGUAUGUGAAAUUCGAUAUGUUAAACUUUAGGAAGUUGUUAUGUAUUUCUUAUUGGUUUUGAACAUUUCAGCAGGGUGGUUUUCUUUGGGAGAAAGGGAAAUUUUACAUUAGUGCCCUGUAUCUCGCUGCAGCGAGAAACUCUCGGGUUUGAGAGCCUUCACCAGAACUGGUUCUCGCUGCAGAGAGAAUGAAUCUCGCUGUAGGAAGAUAGUCACUGUAGCUUCUCACUGUAGCGAAAAAGAAUCCUGCUCCAGCAAGAAACUCUCUGUUUCAUCAGUUGAAUUUCGCUGCAGAGAGAAAGAAUCUCGCUGCAGCGAGAAACAUUCUGUUUCUGGGUUAUAAUUUUGCUGCAGUGAAAAAUUUUCUAUUUUUGUCUCCUAUCUUGUCCAAUUGCUGCCCUAUUUUUCAUUUCUUUGCUACCAUAUCUGAACAUGGACUUCCAACAUUAAGGACUAAAUGAGUUAAGUUUAAAAUGAAGAGGUUUAGUGAGAAACCCUCAGCUAGUUGAGAAACCCUCGUUCGGCUAUAACUUAAUCCCAACGUCGCUGCAACGAAAAUUCAUUCUCGCAAGAGUGAAAAAGAAAUGUGAAAAGGGCUUUGGUGAGACUUGAGGGCUGGCCAUUUAGAGAAGAAAAGAGAGGAAAGAAAGUUUUGAGAGGUUCCACCCAAAAGGAAGAAAAAGAGAAAGAAAAGAGAGAAAGGAGGGAAAAGCUCAGCUUUUGCACAAGAUUAAGAGAAACUGUGAGGUUUCCUCCCUCAUCUUGUAGCUUUGUGCUAUUCUAUCAACCAAGGAGUCUUCAAUACUCAAGAAAGAAGUGGUGGAGUGUUGAUGGAGGUGUAAAACUUGGUUUCAAGAUACAAGAGAAAUAAGGUAAGGAUUGUGGUUUUAGCUUGAAUAAUCUUUGAAAUGGGUUGGUAACUAUAAGAAAUGUCUUGUGGCAACGAAGAUUGGCUUGAUUGGAGAAGAUUUAGUGACAUGCAAGCUAUCAAAACUAUGGAUGCAUGAUGGAUUCAAAGUGAAAGAGACAAGGUAAGCUUGGUAUUGUGUUUUAAGGCCUACGGUUGGUAAAACUUUUGAGAAAAUAACUUGUGAAUCAUGUUGGCAGCUUGAUGAUUAAAGUUUUGGAGGAACAUUGGAGUGCAUGUGCAGAUCAAGCAACCUUAGAGGUAAAAAUAAAUAAUGCUUUGAGUAUGGUUGAGAAAUCAUGAGAAAUGGCUAUUGUUGUGUGGUUGGAAUUUUGAAAGGUGCAUUGUGAAGAAUAAUGGUUGUUAAAAGAAUCUAAAAUGCAUGAGCUAGAUGGACAUGUUAAGUUUGCUUGUUAUGUUGUUUGAAAGAAAUGAAAAAGGAAUAAUGUGGAUGGAGGAUUGAGAAAUAAAGCAUUGAAAGUUAGAUAGACAAUUAGGCAUGUAAACUUGGAAAUAAUUGAGUGAGAUUAAGAAUGAUUGCUGCUGCCAUAUAUGUGGUUUAUGUUAUGAAAAUAUAAGAUGAAUUUGGAUGAAAGUUGCUUGAAAAGGUUGAAAUGGGAACUUAAUGUCGUAAAGAAGUUGUCAGUACAUAUAGUAUGAAGAAUUAUGCAAAUAAAAGAUAUGAAUACCUUUAGUAAAAAUGUGUCAAAAUGCAUAUGAAUAUGCAAAGGUUAAGCAAGAAAGAAUGGUGGUUUUAGCAUGAUGUAAGUUAUUAAAAUGAUGAUUGAUGUUUGAAUGAGAAAGAAAUAUGGGAAUGAUAAACACUAAGUACAUUAAGCUUGGUUUAUUGCUAGGAAGUGUGCAAGUGGGAAAGGAAUACCGUGGUGAUUAACUAAGGGAGGAAAUGUAACCAGAUUAGUGGUGAAGUAAUAUCCGCCACUGUGAGGUGAGUAGAGGGUGUCUAUUUCAAAAUCUCCAUACCAUAUAUCGAUUUACGUCAAUAAAUGUUGUCGAUUUUCUUAAGUGCAAUUGUGGAUAGCAUGAGCUGUUAGCCUUGAUAGGCAUUUUUAAAAUAGAUUUACAAUGAUUUAUAUUGCUAUUGUGGAAAGCAUGAGCUAGUAGAAACCAUAAAAAAAUGUGGAUGCAAAUGAUUUAGAAAUCGUUUGUGUAGAAUAUAUAUAUAUAUAUACACACAUAUGUAAAGAGUUUUAGAAAUCGGGAAACAAGCCUUUUUGCACUGUUUUGCAUCAAAAAUCCAUGCCUUCUAUCUUUGUGUAAUAUGAAUAGUUAAAUGUACUUAUCAAUUGGUUUAAAUGCAAACUUUUGAGAGCUGGUUUUAGUCUGAUUUUUUAUACAAAUGUUUACACCAUGCAUUUAAUGUGAAAUGCAAUUUGAAAGGUUAUCUAACCUUGUUUACAAAUGAUUUUAAGCAAAAUUCUUGAAAAACUUGAUUUGGUUUUGAAAAUGGUUUUGAAAAACCGAGAGCUUUAAGAGUAGGCCGAGUGUCACAUCGGGAUAGUGUGACCCUUGUGCACAAGUGAGCUCUAUCUAGAGAACCUUUGAGUCGUCGACGGGCUGUUAGACAUGGCUGGGGCCAUGGUCUAUGAUAUAUACGUGGCAAGGUGUCACAACCCAAUUUUCGAGCCAUGAUCGGUGCAUGGGCCCAAUGGGCAUAGCUCACUAAGCCCAAGCAAGCCUUUUUUUAUAUGAUCUUGUUCAUAAUUCUAUCCAUCACUUUAAAUGCCAUAUUUUGUAAUUUUCAAGUAUAAUUAUUUCAACAAUAUAACAUGGCAACCAACUACUUACAUUUAUAUCAUCCAAAAUAAUGUCACCCAUUGCCAACUCAUAGUGGCAAAGUAAACCAAAAUAAACAUAUAUUGUUUAUGACAUGUAUUUUAGGGAUUUACAUCACGUGUAUGUAUAUAAAGGCAAAAAGACUCAUUGAUUUCCAGCGGAGUGACCUUGGGUGAAGGUACAACUACUGAAUGCCAUGGUACCUACCAAAAGAAUGGAUAUAUGUGGACACCUAAACCUAGGUCCCAACUGCCUCCGAAUCUAAAAACAUGAAGUUGAAAAGAGUGAGUAUAAACCUAGUGAGUGAACAUAAGAAGGGAACAAGCAUCAAUACGAAAAGUUUUAGAAAACAUGAUGCACUUAUGUUGAAAACAAUGCAAUUUAGCUUAAUUUCUUGUUAAAAACCCCUUAAUUCAACCCUUGAUUAUUUAAUGCCUUAGUAUUGAAAGAUCCAUGAUCAACAAUGAAGUUAAAGAGUCAAAACUAUGGUAGAGUCCAAGCAAGGCAAGCAUGGCAGAGUGAAUCUUGCUGCAGGGAAAAGGCAUUAUCGCUGAAGCAAAAUUUAGGCAAAAUUUUAAACUAACCACCCGAGAGUUUCUCGUGCAGUGAGAAUGAAUUUCGCUAUAGCGAAAACUCGGGCAAGCAUUUUACCUAACCACUUGAGAGUUUCUCACUGCAGCGAGAAUGCAUUUUCUCUGCAGCAAAAAUCUGGCCUAGUCAAGCCCCCAGCACUUGAGAGUUUCUCGCUGCAGCGAGAAUGAAAUUUCACUGUAGCGAGAAACAGGGCAAUGAAAUUAAAAGAAUUCUUGUCAUAACGAAAAUCCGUUUUUGUUGCAGUGAAAAUCAAUUGGAAAGCAUUUGUCAAAUUUUAACAUUCAAUAUUCAAUGCAAUCACAAUAUAUUUUCCAUAAACAUAUAUAUAGCUACUGGCAUCACCCGAACUCUCCCCCAGCUCAUGUGCACUCCCACACCGCACAUUACAAUAUCAUCAUCAGCAUCAUGUGCUCUCCCACACCGCACAUGGCAUAAAUCAUAGGCGUGUGCACUCUCACACCACACACUACCAGCACUGUCAUGUGCACUCCCACACUGUACACGCACGGUUAUAAGUAUCACGCAAUAGUACCAUUCAAUGCAUAACAUACACAUCAACAUAAUGUAGGAACACAUGAACUAAUCACAUUGUACAUUUCACAAUAUAAGAACGUUUUAUCAAGGGCUUGUUCCCCAGGUACAUUUUAAAGCAAAAAAAUAACUAAAAUUUUCAAAUGAUUCAUUCAAACACGUAUGCAUUCCCUAUAGUGGACUAAAGUUUCAUUUAUUUACAAAAAUACCAUUGCAUAGUUGACUUUGCCUUAUUCCCUUUGGCUCAAACUUUUUACUCUUUUGACACUGAGAAAAGGGUCCACAAUAGAUUAAAGGUACUCAAGUUCAUGCAAACUUAAAAAUUUAGACUCGAGACCUAAAAUGACCAUUUUACCCCUACCACAGAAAUUAUCAUUAUUUCUAUUUUCUUCGUUUAUUUCAUUAUUAUAUGCAUCAUUCAUUUAUUCCUUAGGUCUACUUAGACCUUAAUAAUAUUAGAAAAAAUCACUUCUAGGAGCUCACCAAGGAAAUGACAGAACUACCCCUAACCUAUGUCAUCGUGUUUACGUCCGCUACACAUCUCUGAAGGUCAAGGUUUCACACAAGGCCACGGUUGAUAUGUGUGGCUAGGCCACUAGUUGAUAUAUGUGGUUGCGACCACUUGAUUUCUCCGAUGUCGGCCAACAUCGUCGAGACUACCAUGGCUGUGGAAAUUCGGUGGAGUAGAGCUCCUGGAUGUUAUUACAUGAAAGUAGGUCCAUGUGUUGGUUGUUAUGAUUACCUACUUGAGAGCCUUGAGAGUUUUUAGACUCAUACUCUUUUGCAUGAUGAAGAGUUAAUGAUUUUUGCAGCUCUUUCUCUAUUUGAUUAAUAGCUUUCAGCGGUUUUAUAAGUGAUUGUCAAAUGAUUUAUGUGGUUGUACACAUUGAUUUUUACAUGCCACACAUUUUCGGAGUGUGUGUGCUUUUAUGAAACUGUCGUAUUUUUGAACGAAAUAGGUGAUUUCGAUGAUUGAAAUUUGUUUUACUACGCCUUGUCUCUGGCCUUGUUUACAAAAAAAAAAGUAUAGCAUUAUGAUUUACGGCAUUAUUUUUACAAGGCACAAAUACCCUAUUUGUGAUUGAUUUUACAAGAUUAUAAUUUUUUAUUCUGGUUUUACUAUUCAAAUUUAUCUGCUUUAUGCUUGUUUCACAUCUACACCCUGCUCAUGGAGCCAAUGAUCACUAAGUCUGUGAGACUCACCCCCUUAUUUCUUUUUUGCAGAUAGUGAUUAGCCUAGCGUGUGUUCAUCGGCGCAAAUCAUCUACUGCGGAUAGGUAAAGGCAUCUCAUAGCACUUCAUUCUGAGUCACUCCGCUGCUAGAGGUCGAGUCAUUUAUAGCAUGACGUAUUUGUAAUUAGUGUCAAUGUAAAUGUGCAGUUGGUACUAUAGACUUAAUGUAUUUUUAUGAGUAUGGUGAAUAAAGAUUAGGAUGGCUUAUUACAAUUUAUGUUCAAUUCUUGUUAUAAAGAGUUAUAUGGUUCAAGUAAUCUCAUAGAUGGAUAGCAUGAAUACGUAGUAAUAACUAAGUUUUGAUUCAGGCUUGUUCAGGACUUGACAGGUUCUCCCGCAGGACUCGGACGUCGGUAGCGAUCGAGGAGCAGUCAUUACACUAAAUGUCUUGGCAAUGCUUCAUUAAUACUGAUAUUAACUUGAUGAGAAAACUUCUUCUUGAAUUGAGUUUUAUACAUAUUUAAGAGAACACUCAUUGAAAUGCUUGCUUGAAAACUUUGUGGAAAAGAGAUCACCAAAAAGAGCUUAAUGAUGAUAAUCUCAUAAUGUUCGAUGAUAUGCCUUUGUUGAGAAAAUCCUCUUUUAAUUUGUUAUUCUUAUAUAUAUAUAUAUAUUAGAGAAUUUGUCUAAAAUGUUUGAUUGAUAGUGCUUGGACAAGGCAUGAUGUAAAUUGAAAAAGAUGAUUAAUGCAAAAUGAUAUCUUGGGCAUACAUUUGAGCUAAUGUGCACAAACUUCUUGAAAUUAUGAGUAUUUGAAGCAUAUAUUGAAUAUUUAUUUAAAUACUUAUGGUUUACUAGUUCCUUGAAUAUAUGAGUAUGAGAUUGACACGUUGAACAUUCUAUUUAAAUACUUAUUUAUCGUAUGAUUAUUAAUUAUCCCCAUAUUUACCUCAUGAUCCAUCUAAGGGAGGUAACACUAUGCUUGGAUGUGAUUAAUCACUUAACUCUUUCUUCUUUUUGGAAAGGAAUCUAAUGGAUGCUUAAGGGGGAGCUGAUCAUCGACAUUGUCCUAUGAUGAUCGAGCACUUGAAAUCUUCAACAAUGAUCUUGGCAAAAUCUCAACAAGUGGUGUUCAUCUCUAUUGGUAAUAUCUGUUAAACACCAUAUUAAACUUGUACUUAAUAAUGUCUCACAUUUGUGCUUGAAUAAUAAUUGCCAUAGUCUUUGAUAUAAUUGGUUGUGUAUAUAAUUGUAAAUAUAUUUGCAUAAUUGGUUGUACACUUAAUGUGUUAAUUGAUUAUUUGUUCAAAUGAAUAUGUGAACAUACUGGUAUAUAAAGUUGCACACACAUCACUAAAUCUUGUUUACAUUAUAUAAAGACUUAUGAAUGUUUCAUACUUAAUUAUGCAUAUCCAACUUGAACUUAAAUGAUAAAAUGCCUACACCAUGUUUAUAAAUGUAUAUUUAUGUGUGGCAUUCUUGAUUGAUUAAUGAUAAACUUUUUAUUGACUUACUUGAAAAUAUAUGAAAUGAAGAUAUAUCUUGAUUUGUUUAUGAUAGAUUGAUAUAUUCCAUAAUACCUUUGUCACAACCCAACUAGAGGAAUCGUGAUCGACACAUGAGCUUGGCAGGUAAAGCCCGCAAGACCAGAGCAAGCCGUAGAAACAUUUAUCCAAUCAAAUCUUAAUUGAAUGUUCAAUGAUUUUCCAUAAUAACCUUAUUUAUAAUAAAAAGGGGGAUAAGGUUAAUGAGCACAUUAAAAUGCUCUUAUAUUAGCUAAAUUUCUCUUGAAAGUGUUUUUGAACCUCAUGCAUAAAUUGAGAGGGGGGAAAUUUUAAAAGAUCAUAUUCAUUUCUCAUAUCCUUUUCACUUACAAUUAAAUGUUUUCAAUAGGGGCAUAGAGACUAAUUAAGCUAGGGGGAGGUUUCAAGAAAUUUCAAAUGCCAUAUGCUCAUGUUGUUGUCAUAUAAAAAAGUGGGAGAUUGUUAACCUUGAGUUACAUCAUGUUUUGAUUUGACAAAAAAUUAUAUGUUAUCUUGAACUUAAUGUCAAGCAUUUGAAAUUGUCUCAAAUAUGUUUUUAGUUUGCUAAGGUAACAUAAUUGUUUGAAAAGCCAUGCAUCAUUAGAAAAUAUUAUAAAAGCUUUCAAAUGAUGCAUAUUUAGUUAAGAAAACAAAGUGAAAACAUGCCUUGAAUAAUUAUUUGAUUGUAGAAACAAGGCAAGCGAUAAAUAGUUGAAGAGAGGCACCAAAAAGCUAAGGCAACCUUAGGACACAAGUCAAGAGUCGACCCUAUAGAUGCUCAAGUCGAUCCAAAGCUAGAAAAAGAGCAAAAAUUGAAAAGUAUAAAGCAAUAGUUGACCCUGGAAUGCCUAUAGUCAACCUUGUUCCAAAAAGCUCAAGAACAUGAAGAAUUGAACAAACAUAGUCAACCCUAGCUCGAGUAUAGUCAACCUUGACAAGUCCAAAGCAUGAGAAAUAGGACUUUACAUAGCCAGAGUUGACCAUAGCAAAGAGGUAGUUGACUACCAUAACCCAAACUUGCAAAAAACACGUUCUCGAGAGCUAGAUCAAAUACAAAAUGGCUAUAGUCGAUUAAGGAGCCCUAAUUUGAGAAAUUUGAAGAACAUGUCAACCAUAGGAGCAUUGUAGUCGACCUUUAAGCUCCAGCAACAAUCAGAUUUGAUUCAAAUUUGUGUUUAACAGCUCCGAACUUCACACCAACUAUAAAUGGUUGCCUUUGAACUAGUUGGAAGCAAAAGAAAACUUGAGAUAAAGUUUCAAACCCUGGAGAGAUCUCCAAAAGCUUAUCCUCAUGCUCUACCUUUAUUUUAGUUGUCACGAGCCAAACUCAAGGAUCCGUGACUAGCGCACGAGCUAGGCAAACAAAACCCACAAAAUCCAAGCAAGCCUUAAAAUUCAAAUCACAUAACACAUAGCCAAGGGAAUUAAUAGUCAAAUAUUUACAAUAAAAUACAAAUAUAUUACAUCGUCUCUGGCUCAUAAUCCAUACAGAUAUUCAAAGGCCAUACAUUGGCCAUGAAAUCAAGUUUGUUCAUAACAACCAUUAUACAAUUCAAAUGGCAGAUCCUGCUUGACAUAUUAACAACUAGCCAAACUGGGAAGGUGGAAGGCCCACACAGACUCAGUGGAGUGACACAUUGGGAUAGAAACCUACAAGAUGCCAAUUAUGUGUCCGUCCAAUCGACUACACUUGCCAUGUAACCCCAUAGCUUCUCUUAUCUGCACAUGGUAAAACAGAGGGAUGAGUCAUCUAAUACUCAGCAAAGGGAUGCUAUCAUAGCAUAAUAUUUUACAUAUAAAAUAUAUUUAAGCCUAUCAAGCCUUAAAACUUUCAUAUUCAAAUAUCUCCAAUUCAAAGGUGCCAGGAUCAUCUUAAUAUCCUACAUGCACAACUCAUCAUGUGAAGUCUUGCUAGAUCACAUCUCAACGUGUGUCAUAUCCACAAAUUUCCAAGUCCUAUGUCAUCACAACAAAUCAUAUCAAUUCAAGGCUUAACUUUAACUCUGUUAUCAUCAAACUAGGGUUCAUAAGCACACCUUAGCUGCUGAGCCUAACCUCGAAUCUCAUUUACAUAUAAGCUGCUUAUCUCAAGAUUUUCAUCAAAUAUCAUUCACAGUUAACCACCACAUAUUCAUAUUUCAAACUAGAGCAAGCCAUACUCGAUGCAUAUUAUCAUAGUCAAAUGAGAUCAAAUGAGUGGUCUUGCCUUGGACAUCAUCAAAUCACGUACAGUGGCCAACCAAUGGAGAAACAAAUCAUGCACAAGGCAAAGGUGCUUGGUAGAGAAACAGAUCAUGUGCAUGUUGAAGUAACAAGGGGAGAACAGAUCACGCAAGUGCCAAAGCAACAGAAGAAGGAUAGAUCACGCACAGCACCAAAGUAGCUGAUGGAGAAACAUAUCAUCAAUCAGAGUAAUCUCUCAAUGAUUGGCAUCAAAGCACUGUAGGCGAAAAUCACAAGCGGGAUUAGUGCCACCGUCCCUACUUAAGACCAUCCUUGGAAGCAUACACAUAGUCACAGGACGUGGGACUCCACUCAACCUCAAAUCAAAUUGACGUUCAGAAUUCAUGCCUCGAACAGAACACGUAUCCAUAAAUCAGGCCAUCAUGCCUGUGACAUUCCACAUAUCCAUAUCAAAUCAUAUUCAAAUUCAACAAGCUUCAAUCAUCUCUAAGCUCGGUAUAAUUCUAAGUUCCUUCAAUUAUCUAAGGCAUCAUCAAAUGAAACAUAAUCAAUCUAUAAGCCUUCAUGCCCUUAACCACACGUGGUAUUCAUCAUAUUUGAUCAUAUCAAUCAUGGCUUAAUAGCCUUAUGCAUAUCCUCAAAUCAACGACAAAUACAUGGGCAUUAAUGCACAAAUCAUAUCCAUAAGUAAUCAUGGCUCUUCAACCUCGCAUACUUAACAUCACCUCGAUCAUUGUGCCAUUAACCCAAAUACAUAUCAUGCCCAUAUACCUAAUUAGGCAGUUUAUUCAUCAUAAUUUGGCACAGUCUUUAAUACAAAAUUCAUAUCACACCAUGUGUAGGCCUUUUGCUCUAGGUUCUACAUAGCAUGGGUUCCAACACAAUGCCAUCAUGUGGCUCACCACAAAUCACACAAACAUAAAUUUCCUAUUUUAGGUAACAAAUUAGCCUAGGCAUCCUCAUCUAGGCACACAAUCAUAUUUUUUCUCUAGUUUAGGCACACACUGUCAAGCCCGACCUUAUAAAGUACUUGCCAUGUCCUUCAGGUGAUUGACAAUAUGCUUGCAUACUUGGAAAGUCUCAAAAAAUCAUCAAAAUUCGAUAUUGUACCAAAUGGUAUUAUUAAGUUGAAUUAAGCCUCAAACUAGUCUAAAUAGAGAUCUUAAGAUGAAAUUGAGAAUUUUAAAACCCCAGAAUGACUUAAAAUGAUGAUUUGGAGUUCGAAGGCUGAAUUGGAGUCAAUUUGAAAUUUUCAUGUUCUAGGGGUAAAAUGAUAAUUUUGUCACCCGAGGACAAAAUGGAAAUUUUUAGAAAAUAUUUUGAUCACAUUUGACUCAUUGGAUUAUGAUUUGAGUUUGAGAGGUGAAAAAUUUAAAUUCUGACAUUUUUGGAGUCCUAGGGGCAAAACGAUAAUUUUACGAGUUUACGGGGGCAAAGUUAGAAUUUUGGAAUUUUACACCACCUAACACUUGUCAUGCCCAUGGAUUUCAGCCAUUAACAUUUUACAUUGUGGAUAAAUCGAAACAUUUUAUGUGGUGGAGAGAUAUUGCUUAAUGGAUAAGUAUUACACAUGGACCAAUGGAAACAUGCCAUGUGUCAAGCUUGGAUUAUUCUAGAAUUUCCUUGUAAAAUCUAUUUAAAACUCUCUUAGUCUCACCCAUAUGGCUGGCCAAAGCAUGAAGUGAAGAGGAAAGGAAAGAACACAAACCCUAGGUGGGAAAAUUGUAGAAAAAGUGUGGGAUUUCAAUGGAUUAAGCUAAUAAAGGUAAGAUUUUGUGAUUUUAUCUUGUUAUUUACACUACCCAUGCUUUCUUUUUCAUUUUCCAUGCUUAGAACUCAAGUUUGCAUGAUGAACCCACGCUGGCCGAAUUUGAGAGGAGAGGUUUUGAGCAUUGAUUUUGCUAGAUUUCAAGCUAAUUAAGUGUUUUUGGUUGUUUGGUAAUGGAAAGUAUGAAAAUCUAGCAAGGAAUCACUUUGUUCUUCACAAACCCACAAAAGGCCGAAUUUUCUAAGGAGGAUAUUGAGGCUGAAAUUGAUGAUAUUUCAUGAUAUUUUGGUGGUAUUUAAUAAUUGGUGAGGCUAGAAAUUUAAUGGCAAAUUUUGACAUGAAAACCUGAAUUUUUACCUAAUGUAUAGACAUGUGUAAUUUAUGGUUCGGACUGAUAAAUUGAAUCAUAUUCACAGUCAUUGAGGUAUUUUAAGUAUAAUUGGAGUGUAGAAAGUGAAAGAAAUCGAUUUGGAGUUAAAUUGGAGAUUUUAGCCAAUUACAUAGAGAAUAGUGCGAAUUAGGUCGAAUAGCGUAUUUAAACGGUUAUUCGGACAUUUUGUAUCACAUUUCGUGCAUUCAUAUAGAUUUAUAGAGCAUGAAAUAGUUUAUGAUAAAUUAACACAAUUUAUUAAAAUUCGUGUCACGUAUGAUGUAUAGGUGGUGAGCCCUCUAACAAGGGUAAAGAGAUUGUGCCCGAAGACCGGGAAUAAGAGUAUAUCGAACUCCUAGUGUUGUGAGUAACCUGACUAUCAUCUUAAUUAUCUAGAGUGGUUUUUAUCCGAUUUGUGAUUUUAUGAAAAUGAGUUUAAAUGGUAAAUUUUUAGGUUUUAUAAACAAAAUGUGUUUAAAUAAAAUGAUUUCAUAAAUGGUCUUGAAAUUGAAUGAAGGCUUUGAAAAUGGAGUAAUUGGAUACCAUUUGAUGUAUUGUGAAUUUAUGGUUCUAAUUGAUUGGCUUAUGACAAUAUUGGCAUGAAUGGCUGAAUUAGUAUUUGUGUUGAAAUGUAUAAACUGUUGUUUGCCUUGAUAGGCUGGAUAAUGAUAAAAUUGUCAUAUCAUGCUGUUGAAUUUUUAUUGUAUGGUGGGUUUAGCUUGCUGCAAUGGGCUGGUUCUGUGGACCAACCUAUUAGAAGGGCACGAAACUUGGUCAUAUAUAUGUACCUCGAUUGGAGAGGCGCGUAGGGUAACUCUCGAGGUCAAACUUUAGAGUUCACUUCACGCCCAACCACCAUGUGAGGGGAACUCAGCCAACCCCAAGGAACGACUAUGUUUUCAAAAUAAAAACAUGAUUUAUGCGUACAUGACUUUUUAUCAGCCUUGGCGGACUCGGUUGGGAUAGCCCUCAAUCAAGGCAUCCCUGAUAACUAGGUAUAAAAAUGAUUUUUGGCACGAGCUAAAGUUUUAAGAAAUUCAUAAGCCAUGUUAAUUACUUGAUUUAUAUGAAUUGAUUUUAUUUGGUUGAAACAAGUUGAAAGGUGAUGAAUUCCAGUAUGUUAAACUGUUUUAUCUAUCUCCAUUUACUCGACUUUAGAUGGUUUAGAUGGUAUCUAUUUACUCACUGGGAUUUUAUAAUCUCACCACCCUCAUUUUCAACCAUUUCAGACCCGAGGUAGCUAGUGGUUAGCAGAUAUCGUCAAGGAUUAUAGUCGGCUUAACUACUCCAAAAAUUGUAGGCUUACUACCUUUGUGCACUUUUGUUCCUUGUGGGCCCACGAGUCACUGUAAAGUAAAUUUCAUAUCCCAAUUAUCUGUAUUGUAGUACAUAUGAAUUUAUUUAGCUUUUACAUUACAAAAAUUAUUUAUCGAUGACUCUAUAAAUAUUGUUUUACAAGAAAUUAGAAUAUUUUAUUGAAUAUUUUUAUUUUAUUCAAAUAGUUGUAAUAUCAUUUUUAAUAAAUGUUUU